rnacentral:rRNA from 1 species
UAGGGAAUCUUCCGCAAUGGGCGAAAGCCUGACGGAGCAACGCCGCGUGAGUGAAGAAGGAUUUCGGUUCGUAAAGCUCUGUUGUUAGGGAAGAAUGAUUGUGUAGUAACUAUACACAGUAGAGACGGUACCUAACCAGAAAGCCACGGCUAACUACGUGCCAGCAGCCGCGGUAAUACGUAGGUGGCAAGCGUUGUCCGGAAUUAUUGGGCGUAAAGCGCGCGCAGGUGGUUUAAUAAGUCUGAUGUGAAAGCCCACGGCUCAACCGUGGAGGGUCAUUGGAAACUGUUAAACUUGAGUGCAGGAGAGAAAAGUGGAAUUCCUAGUGUAGCGGUGAAAUGCGUAGAGAUUAGGAGGAACACCAGUGGCGAAGGCGGCUUUUUGGCCUGUAACUGACACUGAGGCGCGAAAGCGUGGGGAGCAAACAGGAUUAGAUACCCUGGUAGUCCACGCCGUAACGAUGAGUGCUAAGUGUUGGUCUCAUAAGAGAUCAGUGCUGCAGCUAACGCAUUAAGCACUCCGCCUGGGGAGUACGACCGCAAGGUUG